CGAAUUUGAAAUUUCUGCUCGCCAUUUUGAGACUUUUGACUCGAAGCUUAGCAAGAAAUUCAUAUUUUAAAAGCGUUUUAUCAAACUUUAUCGAAAUAAAAUAGUUAUGCCAUGCAAGGGGACAGGUUAGUAUUAAACUUAGCUAUAUUUUAAACGUUUGUGAGCUGUUCUUGUCAAGUUCUAGCCGUGUUUUGAAACACGUGCUACAAAUUCAUUGAAUUACUUCGCCUCCGAUCCAAGCGCUUCUUUAUCGUUUAGUCGCUUCAUUUCCUUUGUAUUUCUCCCAAAUUUUCUCGCAAUAAUGUUCAGAAAUACCCCAGCUUUGAUUGAUAUAACUCUUAUUUGUUUUAUCUACUUUUUCAGACAACAAUUCGACGAGAAAGUUGACAAAGUUUACUGAUUUAAUUAAGUCGCCGACCUGCCGAAGACUCUCGAAGCACACGGUAAGCAUAUAUGGCCCCGCAUCAAGGGGUGAAUAUGUUUUCGGAUCAUCGGAUUUCACAGAAAAAAUUGUUCGGAUUUUGGAUCUAGCGAAUAUUUUCCACGGAAUUGCGGAUCUUAUUAAUACAGCGGUUUGCAGAUUUAUCUAAUAUUUUGGCUCGGAUUGUGGAUUUAGCUUGCAAUUUAGUUUGGAUCCUGGAUUGUGACUUGAAGCUUUAUAAACCCUCAAAGUUAAUUAAAUUCAGUUUACAUUUUGAAAUCAAUACCAACAGAGUGGAAAGGGUCAUAAUGACCCAGAAAAUAUCCAUACCACCCCCACGGAGGAAAUUGGAAGUUAAACCCCCCUACCCCUUUCGGAUGUCCUAAUACAUUUACUAUUAUCAGAAACAAUUUAGUCUCUCCUCCCCCUCCGGACGGCAGAAAUUUCCUCCGUGGGGGGAGAGUGAAUCUUUUCUUUCGAUGCCGAAUAAUUUUUGCAUGGCGCUUUCAAACAUUUUGGCUUGUGCAAACUUGUAGUUUAUAUACAAAUUGUACUGUAAGAGGAAAAGGCUGAGCUUUUUGAUGUUAUAAGAGCAUGUGUGUCAUGAGCCCAUGACUUGGCUGGAUCGAGCAACCACACCCUGUGUGAUGUAAUAUUUCUAAUCUGACUAGGCAAAAAAAAAAUAUGUGGGUUUCCGGUUUCUUCUUAUAAAAACUUAGGUAGGGUAGGUCGGUUUUAACUUCUUUUUUUUAACUUUUUUUUUAAAUUUUCCUAACAACCGGAUGCCAUUUUGCUUAGUCAGUCAGCUUCCACAUCUACUGAUAAAUUUCCAUAAUAUUGCCUCAAAUUUCAAUUUUCCACAAACUUUUUUCUCUAAGUGGAAACACUUACAAGCAUGAUGCAAUAAAAAAGUUUAGGGUUGGGACACAGAAUAAGGUACACAGAAGGUCGACUCGAGUAACGCUGCCACACCAUGAUUCAUCAUCAAAAUGCUGACGCCAUGGUCCUAGCCAGUGCGGGUUUGAGAGGCAUUCCCCCCCUGGACAUCCGCCAUUUUGAAUGAUAUCAGGGGGGUGAAUGCCUCUCAGUCGCGCACUGGCUAGGACCAUGGCGUCAGCAUUUGAUGGCGAAUCACGAGUUACGCCAAAAUCAUAGGAAAAUCAUAGGAAAAACGAAGAAGUCGGCCUUCUGUGUACCUUAUUCUGUGGUUGGGAUUUCGAUGUCCAAAAGUUAGGUAGGGUCGGGAAACCGGAAACCCACAUAUAUUUUUUUGCCCUAUGAAAAGUGAGAGCUGGACUAGAUUUCAAGUCCGCGCCAAGCUAGGACUGCAUCCAAAUGUGAGGACUUGAAAUCUAGUCCAGUAGAUCAAAUAGAUCCUCAUCAUUUUAGGCCUAGAAAACGAUUUUCAUUAAGCAUGUCUUGGAACUGAAAUAUUUUUACGGGAUCUAACACUUUCGAACACGCUGAGUUUAAAUCCAAAAACUUCCUGCACCGUAGAGUUUUCUCACAAACUGCUAUUUUAUCUUCGUUAAUUUCACAACAAAUGUUUUCAUUGUUCAACGACACAGAUGGAUGGAGGCACACAAUUGCAUAACUCAAAAUGACUAAUUCCUAUGAACCAGUCUCUAUACAUUGAACAAAAGACCGGUUUUGCUUGAAUUAUUUUGAGUUAUGUAAUUUUAAGUGUGUUGGACGUAAACAACAUAUCUUGUUUACAACUUUGGGAAGGUACCAAUAUCGCUUUGUAAAAUCCUCCGUUCUGGCUGUAUCUCUAUAAAAUCACAAGGAUGUCAAUGUUAAGUCAUAAUUGGGCUAUAUCUCUGGGAUGAGAAAUAAUUCCUUACAUGCAAUCAAAAUGUUUUAUUCAACGAUGUAAAAAGUUAAUCGUAUGGAAUGGGUCAGCAUUUCCAUUUCCAACACAGUUUCUGAGAUGUAAUUCAAGAGGUAACUUAUCAUUGCAUUUGAACUAUUGUAUCAGUUGGUGUUAUUCUGUGCUAUAAGCGAAUAUUAUUGGAAAGAGGGCUGCCAUAUACGUUGAAAUCACCAAAAAAACCACUUAUGCACACAUUUCUCCACUUCAUCGUAAGUUUAUAGAGCAGAUUUUAUACCUUGGCACUGGUCUUUGUCUUUGAUAUAAACAUUUAUUCCCCUAGUUUAAGGUUAUUUAAGAUUCAUCCUGUCUUCUACUAGCAACCAAUCGACAAUAUUUCACUUUAGCGUUGUCUUAAAUGCUGUUACAUUAGUUAUUUUUCAGGCCAGUGAUAUAGCCAAAAGACUUAGCAUUAACGUCCUUGUGAUUUUACAGAGAUAUUGCUAGAACUGAGGAUUUUAGAAGCCGUUAUUAUCUGUACCUUCUCAAAUUGUAGACAAGAUAUGUUGUUUACGUGCGACACGCAUAAGAUUACAUAACUCAAAACUUUUGUUAAAAGGAAGACUGGUUAAUAGAAAUUGGUCGUUUUGAGUGAUAUAAUUGUGUGGCGUCAUCGAUCCGGACACAGAUUAAGGUUGAAAUGUUUUAUAACUAACAAUACACAAUCCAACUCUUUUAGACUGCCUCAAGACCGAUCAUGUGUUUGAAGGCAAACAGUAGAGAAAGAACUUGAAGAGACGCCAAGCAGACUGGGAAGUAAAAUGACAAAGCACAUUAAUACAGAACGUCGGCAGCGUUGUAGACGAUUCCUUUGCUAACCAUCACAAUUCAUCGCAAUGGGAUGUCAGAUUAAGAGACAAUAAUCAGUGAACAACAGUGACGGAACUACAGUCUUGACAGUGAUGAUUAAUCUGCAUUGUAGACUUUGAACUCGAUCAUUUGCAAACUUAAUGAGAAUUGAUCAACAGCUUUUGUUUGUUCUAAAUUUGGAAAGAAAGUGGGGUCACAGACGCUGGUCGUAUUGUAAUGUACGGGGGCCACCCUGAGGACACCCAAAUGCACAAAACUAAUUUAAACCUGG